rnacentral:snRNA from 1 species
GAGUGAAAACAGCUCUUCAAGAAUUUUUCUAACCGAAUUUCUUAUUUUAGUUGGGAAAUCCAU